GUAAAUUUGUUUAUGCGGUGUUAAUACUAAAAGGCAUAUAAAUAUGUGAUCUGCUGCAGUCUGAAGAGCAUCACAGAAGAAUAAAGUACUAGUGAUAGAGUCACGAAGUGAAGAAAAAAUGACCAAACAGAUAAUUCUGAUUUUUGCAAUUUGCAUCGUCUUUUAUGUCUUUUCGGCCAUUGCAUACCCUGCCCCUGACACAGUUUUUGAACCGGAAUUUGCGCUCCGGGAGCAUUCGGGAGAAAGACGACGAUUUAAUUUGAUCCCCGAUUAUGAUUUCGGCGAAGGCCAAGAUUUGCACCACUCUGACGACGGUUUCCCUACAGUUACAUAAGAAAAUCUAAUAAUAAAAAUAUUUAUUAUCUUAUUUUGUACAAUUUGAAUAUAAUAAAGUAACAAGAGGCAAA